rnacentral:rRNA from 1 species
CCUACGGGAGGCAGCAGUGGGGAAUAUUGCACAAUGGGGGAAACCCUGAUGCAGCGACGCCGCGUGAGUGAAGAAGGAAUUCGUUAUGUAAAGCUCUAUCAGCAGGGAAGAAAAUGAAGGUACCUGAGUAAGAAGCCCCGGCUAACUACUGGCCAGCAGCCGCGGUAAUACGUAGGGGGCACGCGUUAUGCGGAUUUACUGGGUGGAAAGGGAGCGUGGACGGCAGUGCAAGUCUGGAGUGAAAGGCGGGGGCUCAACCCCCGGACUGCUCUGGAAACUGUACGGCUGGAGUGCAUGAGAGGUAAGUGGAAUUCCUAGUGUAGCGGUGAAAUGCGUAGAUAUUAGGAGGAACAUCAGUGGCGAAGGCGGCUUACUGGACUGUAACUGACGUUGAGGCGCGAAAGCGUGGGGAGCAAACAGGAUUAGAUACCCGAGUAGUC